UGGGGAAUUUUGGACAAUGGGCGCAAGCCUGAUCCAGCCAUGCCGCGUGAGUGAAGAAGGCCUUCGGGUUGUAAAGCUCUUUUGUCCGGAAAGAAAAGCUUCGGGUUAAUACCCCGGGGUUCUGACGGUACCGGAAGAAUAAGCACCGGCUAACUUCGUGCCAGCAGCCGCGGUAAUACGAAGGGUGCAAGCGUUACUCGGAAUUACUGGGCGUAAAGCGUGCGUAGGUGGUUGUUUAAGUCUGAUGUGAAAGCCCUGGGCUCAACCUGGGAAUGGCAUUGGAAACUGGGCAGCUAGAGUGCGGUAGAGGGUAGUGGAAUUCCCGGUGUAGCAGUGAAAUGCGUAGAGAUCGGGAGGAACAUCUGUGGCGAAGGCGACUGCCUGGACCAGCACUGACACUGAGGCACGAAAGCGUGGGGAGCAAACA
rnacentral:rRNA from 1 species